GACGAACCACACGAACGUUAUUCGGAAUUACUGGGCUUAAAGGGUGCGUAGGCUGUGCGGAAAGUUAGGUGUGAAAUCCCCCGGCUCAACCGGGGAAUUGCGCUUAAAACUACCGUGCUAGAGGAAUACAGAGGUGAGCGGAACUUCGGGUGGAGCGGUGAAAUGCGUUGAUAUCCGAAGGAACACCGGUGGCGAAAGCGGCUCACUGGGUAUUUUCUGACGCUGAUGCACGAAAGCUAGGGGAGCAAACGGG
rnacentral:rRNA from 1 species